AAAAAUGACGUUGAUUGAGUAAA
rnacentral:snRNA from 1 species